rnacentral:rRNA from 1 species
CGCGUAGGUGGUUUGAUAGGGGUGUGGUGAAAGCCCGGGGCUCAACCCCGGGUCUGCCGUGCCGACUGUCAAACUCGAGGGCUGUAGAGGCAGACGGAAUUCCGGGUGUAGCGGUGGAAUGCGUAGAGAUCCGGAGGAAGACCGGUGGCGAAGGCGGUCUGCUGGGCAGUUUCUGACACUGAUGCGCGACAGCGUGGGGAGCAAACA